rnacentral:rRNA from 1 species
UACGUAGGGGGCAAGCGUUGUCCGGAAUCAUUGGGCGUAAAGCGCGCGCAGGCGGUCCUUCAAGUCAGGGGUGAAAGCCCAGGGCUCAACCCUGGAAUGGCCUUUGAGACUAGAGGACUUGGGUACGGGAGAGGUGAGUGGAAUUCCGAGUGUAGAGGUGAAAUUCGUAGAUAUUCGGAAGAACACCAGUGGCGAAGGCGGCUCACUGGCCCGUUACCGACGCUCAGGCGCGACAGCGUGGGGAGCAAACAGG